AGAGUUUGAUCAUGGCUCAGAACGAACGCUGGCGGCAGGCUUAAUACAUGCAAGUCGAACGCACUCUUCGGAGUGAGUGGCAGACGGGUGAGUAACGCGUGGGAACCUUCCCGAUAGUACGGAAUAACUCAGGGAAACUUGAGCUAAUACCGUAUACGCCCUCAGGGGGAAAGAUUUAUCGCUAUCGGAUGGGCCCGCGUUGGAUUAGCUAGUUGGUGGGGUAAUGGCCUACCAAGGCGACGAUCCAUAGCUGGUCUGAGAGGAUGAUCAGCCACACUGGGACUGAGACACGGCCCAGACUCCUACGGGAGGCAGCAGUAGGGAAUCUUGGACAAUGGGCGAAAGCCUGAUCCAGCCAUGCCGCGUGAGUGAAGAAGGCCUUAGGGUUGUAAAGCUCUUUUGGCGGGGACGAUAAUGACGGUACCCGCAGAAUAAGCCCCGGCUAACUUCGUGCCAGCAGCCGCGGUAAUACGAAGGGGGCUAGCGUUGUUCGGAAUUACUGGGCGUAAAGCGCACGCAGGCGGAUUGAUUAGUCAGGGGUGAAAUCCCGGGGCUUAACCUCGGAAUUGCCUUUGAUACUGUCAGUCCUGAGUCCGGGAGAGGUGAGUGGAAUUCCUAGUGUAGAGGUGAAAUUCGUAGAUAUUAGGAAGAACACCAGUGGCGAAGGCGGCUCACUGGCCCGGUACUGACGCUCAGGUGCGAAAGCGUGGGGAGCAAACAGGAUUAGAUACCCUAGUAGUCC
rnacentral:rRNA from 1 species